CACCGGCAUGCACAAAUGCAUCCAAGGAGGCAGCCACAAGGUCUUGUUUGAACUGGUGGGGAUGGGAACUGCAUGUGUCAGGCAGAACAUCUCAGGCCAGACCGUAAACCUUUGCGGGUGUGAGACGAGUGGGUGAGGGGUGGGGAAGGAAAAGUGCUGUGUGCACUAGGGGACAGUUUUAUCACUGAGUAUAAAUUGGCCCUAAGUACUUUGCAGCUGCAGUGAAAAAAUUGGUCUCUGCCCAUCCAAGGGGACUGGAAAUGAACCUUCAGGUAUAAUAGGGGCUGACACUUUGACAGUUACUUGAAUACGGAGCAGCAUACAUUUGCUUAAAUGUUCUGUAACAACUUCUCGUGAAAUAAAUGGGGCUGGAUUAAAUGGUCAACAAGCCUCUUUUGCAUUGGCUUUCUUUAUAGUAAGACAGCAGAGAUUUGACAUCAACCUACUGAUUGAGUCUGGCAACAAUUUAAUCAGGUCUUUGCUUGUAGAAUGGAAUAAUGCCUUUCUCUUCCUAGGACACAAAGGAAAGCCAAGAAAUUAAGCCUCUUGUUUAGGAUUUGAAUGACAUUAAAAUACAAACUUAAGAAAACUCCUUUCUGUGAGAAUUCCUGUAGCACAGUAACUGUAGAUGGGAUUCAACUUGCAUAUAAAGAUAGCUAAAAUUAGAGAUGAGAUUCAGCCAGAUGUUCAGUCACCCAAAAGUGGAGGUAUAGGAAUAUGUAGGAGUCAACUGCAAGUGAGAAGACACUACACGGGCCAUUCUCUUACAACAGCCAUAGCGUUCCUGAAGGUGGAAAAGAAGACAUCAUGUUCAUUAACAGCAUUAAAGAUCUGUUUGGACCCUGUCCUUGUCUACUUGCUUGUCAGGACUCUCAGACGUUGUCUCAGUAACUUUUGAACCUGUUGCUCAAUUUUAAAUGAAUUUAACAGCUGGACAAAAGUUCUGUAAAUACAAAAAUACUGCAAGUUUUGUGAAAAAAUGUUGCUGUGUGAAGAGGAAAAAUUCCAGAAAAGAACCAUCCGCAUGCGAUACGCUGCAGGGUGAAACCCUCAUUGAAGAAGCAGUAAGGAUGGAGCUGCAGGAGACAAAACUCUGUAAGCUCUGCUGUUCAUGGAACUGCUUUUCUUUGCAAUUUUCUUCUGUUUAAAGAAGGAACUGCUUCUCUACCUUUGUCCCAAAUCUAAAUAAAAUUCUUUUAUUCUG
rnacentral:lncRNA from 1 species